rnacentral:rRNA from 1 species
GAUGAACGCUGGCGGCGUGCCUAAUACAUGCAAGUCGAGCGAACAGAUAAGGAGCUUGCUCCUUUGACGUUAGCGGCGGACGGGUGAGUAACACGUGGAUAACCUACCUAUAAGACUGGGAUAACUUCGGGAAACCGGAGCUAAUACCGGAUAACAUAUUGAACCGCAUGGUUCAAUAGUGAAAGGCGGCUUUGCUGUCACUUAUAGAUGGAUCCGCGCCGUAUUAGCUAGUUGGUAAGGUAACGGCUUACCAAGGCAACGAUACGUAGCCGACCUGAGAGGGUGAUCGGCCACACGGGAACUGAGACACGGUCCAGACUCCUACGGGAGGCAGCAGUAGGGAAUCUUCCGCAAUGGGCGAAAGCCUGACGGAGCAACGCCGCGUGAGUGAUGAAGGUCUUCGGAUCGUAAAACUCUGUUAUCAGGGAAGAACAAAUGUGUAAGUAACUGUGCACAUCUUGACGGUACCUGAUCAGAAAGCCACGGCUAACUACGUG